UAAGGCGACACUUAUCCAUAAAAUUGAGAUGGUCUCUGUUAAUGCAAUAAGGAGCAAUCCUUCAACAACAUCUAUGCAUGGAAGAGGUCCAAAAGACAGAGAAAAAGGAAAGAUUUCACAGAGGGAAUUACUACUAUAAUAUUAUCUGCAAGACACAAAGAAUAAACCAGAGGCCAAACUUAAGAACUUUCUCAGGGGAAGCCAAAUUUAACAACAACCAACAAAACCAACCUCCACAAAUACAAGUUUCAAAGACCACGCAUGUUGAAGAAAAAUCGACCAGCAACCACAAGGCGGUAUGGAAUUUCAUUGAUCUCUGCUCUCAAGGAAUAAACAAAGCAGUACUUCAAAUCAAACAACAGAUAAUGUUCUCACAUAGUUGAUAGGUCAGCUAAAGGAUUUAGUGCUAUCCUUGGGGUAGCAGUAUGCUCAAGAAAAUACCGUAUGACACUUAAAUAAUAUCAAAUGGAAAUUAAAACCCCGUCUUGUGCUCAUGCUACCAAAUCUCAGAAAAUUCCAAACAGCGCCAGGCAAAAAGCACACCUUUUACCAAAUUAGUAUUACAGUGCAGAUUCACAAACAUGAGGUAGAUGAUAAUCUUAUUUAAGAUCCAAGUAAAUGGAAUUGCUUUCGGCAAUGAGAGAGAUCCAGCUAAUUCCAGGAGCUUCCACCUGAAAGCCAGCAAAUAUAUUUAUUAAUUUAAUAAAAAGAAGUCGAUGAAUAGGAUCAGCAUUUUUUUAAAAAAAACAGUAUCUUGGUCAUUUUAUCAAGUUGUCAAAAAAAAAAAGCAAAUAGUCGAUCUUCUUAAAUCCUUCCUGAAUGCUACUACGUUGGAGGUUGAAAUCAAAUGUAUGGAUUUUAAACCCGGGUAAGAAAAUAAGUAACAUUGCAAUAUUGCAUAUAAAAAGAGAGAAAGAAAAUCGAAGAUUUAACUCCGGAAAAUGGAUGGAUGAAAUCACCUCUCCUAUCCAAGAAACGGUUCUCAACUCUAUUUUCUGGG
rnacentral:lncRNA from 1 species